ACUGUCAGGUGGGCAGUUUGACUGGGGCGGUCGCCUCCCAAAAGGUAACGGAGGCGCUCAAAGGUUCUCUCAGUACGGUCGGAAAUCGUACGUAGAGUGUAAAGGCAAAAGAGAGCUUGAUUGCAAGACAUACAGGUCGAGCAAGGAUGAAAAUCGGACUUAGUGAUCCGGUGGUUCUGCGUGGAAGGGCCAUCGCUCAACGGAUAAAAGCUACCCUGGGGAUAACAGGCUUAUCUCCCCCAAGAGUCCACAUCGACGGGGAGGUUUGGCACCUCGAUGUCGGCUCAUCACAUCCUGGGGCUGUAGUAGGUCCCAAGGGUUGGGCUGUUCGCCCAUUAAAGUGGUACGCGAGCUGGGUUCAGAACGUCGUGAGACAGUUCGGUCCCUAUCCGUCGCAGGCGUAGGAAAUUUGAGAAGACCUGUCCUUAGUACGAGAGGACCGGGAUGGACGUACCUCUGGUGUACCAGU
rnacentral:rRNA from 1 species